rnacentral:rRNA from 1 species
UACAGAGGUCUCAAGCGUUGUUCGGAAUCACUGGGCGUAAAGGGUGCGUAGGUGGCGUGGUAAGUCAGAUGUGAAAGCCCGGGCUCAACCUCGGAAUUGCAUCCGAUACUACCAUGCUAGAGUACUGAAGAGGUGACUAGAAUUCUCGGUGUAGCAGUGAAAUGCGUAGAUAUCGAGAGGAAUACCAACGGCGAAGGCAGGUCACUGGGCAGUUACUGACACUGAGGCACGAAGGCCAGGGGAGCAAACGGG